UACAGAGGGUGCGAGCGUUGUUCGGAAUUACUGGGCGUAAAGCGCGCGCAGGCGGCUCUUUAAGUCUCGUGGUCAAAUGCCGGGGCUCAACCCCGAGCGUGCCGGGGAUACUGGAGGGCUGGAGACAGGUAGAGGCAAGCGGAAUUCCGGGUGUAGCGGUGGAAUGCGUAGAGAUCCGGAAGAACACCGGAGGCGAAGGCGGCUUGCUGGACCUGGUCUGACGCUGAGGCGCGAAAGCGUGGGGAGCGAACAGG
rnacentral:rRNA from 1 species